GACGAACGCUGGCGGCGUGCCUAAUACAUGCAAGUCGAACGAGAGCGACCGGUGCUUGCACUGGUCAAUCUAGUGGCGAACGGGUGAGUAACACGUGGGUAACCUGCCCAUCAGAGGGGGAUAACAUUCGGAAACGGAUGCUAAAACCGCAUAGGUCUUCGAACCGCAUGGUUUGAAGAGGAAAAGAGGCGCAAGCUUCUGCUGAUGGAUGGACCCGCGGUGCAUUAGCUAGUUGGUGAGGUAACGGCUCACCAAGGCCGUGAUGCAUAGCCGACCUGAGAGGGUGAUCGGCCACAUUGGGACUGAGACACGGCCCAAACUCCUACGGGAGGCAGCAGUAGGGAAUCUUCCGCAAUGGACGCAAGUCUGACGGAGCGACGCCGCGUGAGUGAAGAAGGUUUUCGGAUCGUAAAACUCUGUUGUUAGAGAAGAAUAAGUGCUAGAGUAACUGUUAGCGCCUUGACGGUAUCUAACCAGAAAGCCACGGCUAACUACGUG
rnacentral:rRNA from 1 species